AGGGCACCACCAGGAGUGGAGCCUGCGGCUUAAUUUGACUCAACACGGGAAAACUCACCCGGCCCGGACACUGGAAGGAUUGACAGAUUGAGAGCUCUUUCUUGACUCAGUGGGUGGUGGUGCAUGGCCGUUCUUAGUUGGUGGAGUAAUUUGUCUGGUUAAUUCCGAUGACGAACGAGACUCUAGCCUACUAAAUAGAUCGUUGGCUUACAAACGCCGAACGAGACUUCUUAGAGGGACAGGCGGUGAUUCAACCGCACGAAACAGAGCAAUAACAGGUCUGUGAUGCCCUUAGAUGUCCGGGGCCGCACGCGCGCUACACUGAAGUGAUCAGCGUGCAUUCUAUGCCUACUCUGUCAAGAGUGGGAAACCCAAUGAACCUUCUUCGUGAUUGGGAUAGGAGAUUGUAAUUAUUCUCCUUGAACGAGGAAUCCCCAGUAAGCGCGAGUCAUAAGCUCGCGUUGAUCACGUCCCUGCCCCUUUGUACACACCGCCCCGUCGCUACUACCGAUUGAAUGU
rnacentral:rRNA from 1 species